GACGAACGCUGGCGGCGUGCUUAACACAUGCAAGUCGAACGGAGUGGCGAACGGGUGAGCAACACGUGGGUGCUCUGCCUUGCACCUCGGGAUAAGCUUGGGAAACUGGGUCUAAAUCCGGAAAGUGCAAGAUGAGCUCGCGGCUUGUCAGCUGGUUGGUGGGGUAAGGGCCUACCAAGGCGUCGACGGGUAGCCGGACUGAGAGGGUGUACGGCCACAUUGGGACUGAGGUACGGCCCAGACUCCUACGGGAGGCAGCGGUGGGGAAUAGUGCACAAUGGGCGGAAUGCGUAAGCAGCGACGCCGCGUGGGGGAUGAAGGCCUUCGGGUUGUAACCUCCUUGCGACUGGGACGCGGUACCUGUAUAAGAAGCACCGGCUAACUACGUGCCAGCAGCCGCGGUAAUUC
rnacentral:rRNA from 1 species